rnacentral:rRNA from 1 species
GAUGAACGCUGGCGGCGUGCCUAAUACAUGCAAGUCGAGCGAACAGUCCCUGCCCAUGCCCCGCACACGUUUGGGAAGAAGGGGGGCGUACCACGUGGAAACCCUACCGUAAACUACCGAACAACGUCGGAAAACAGGAGCUAAUAGCUGAUAAUAUAUCAUAACACUUUAUGCCGUAUUGCAAAACGGUGAUACUGGCACUCAUAGGCCGCUCAGGGACGGAUCCGCGGCGCAUUAGCUAGUUGGUAAGGUAACGGCUCACCAAGGCAACGAUGCAUAGCCGACCUGAGAGGGUGAUCGGCCACACUGGAACUGAGACACGGCCCAGACUCCUACGGGAGGCAGCAGUAGGGAAUCUUCCGCAAUGGGCGAAAGUCUGACGGAGCAACGCCGCGUGAGUGAUGAAGGUCUUCGGAUCGUAAAACUCUGUUAUUAGGGAAGAACAAGUGUGUAAGUAACUAUGCACGUCUUGACGGUACCUAAUCAGAAAGCCACGGCUAACUACGUG